rnacentral:rRNA from 1 species
GGAUACGUUCUUUUCUCGCAUGAGAGAAGAUGGAAAGACGGUUUACGCUGUCACUUAUAGAUGGGCCCGCGGCGCAUUAGCUAGUUGGUGAGGUAAUGGCUCACCAAGGCGACGAUGCGUAGCCGACCUGAGAGGGUGAUCGGCCACACUGGGACUGAGACACGGCCCAGACUCCUACGGGAGGCAGCAGUAGGGAAUCUUCCGCAAUGGACGAAAGUCUGACGGAGCAACGCCGCGUGAACGAAGAAGGCCUUCGGGUCGUAAAGUUCUGUUGUUAGGGAAGAACAAGUACCAGAGUAACUGCUGGUACCUUGACGGUACCUAACCAGAAAGCCACGGCUAACUACGUGCCAGCAGCCGCGGUAAUACGUAGGUGGCAAGCGUUGUCCGGAAUUAUUGGGCGUAAAGCGCGCGCAGGUGGUUCCUUAAGUCUGAUGUGAAAGCCCACGGCUCAACC